GGAGUAUAAGUCGUAACAAGGUUUCCGUAGGUGAACCUGCGGAAGGAUCAUUAUUGUAUAACCGAGGUGCGAGGGCUGUCGCUGACCCGAAAGGUCGUGCACGCCCGAGUGCCCUCACACACAUCCAUCUCACCCCUAUGUGCACCACCGCGUGGGUCCCCCUUUGGCUUGUUCGGAGGGGGGCUUACGUUUUCACACAAACUUUGUAUGCAGUGUAGAAUGUAUUUUUUGUUUUUGCGAUCACGCAAUCAAUACAACUUUCAACAACGGAUCUCUUGGCUCUC
rnacentral:misc_RNA from 1 species